rnacentral:rRNA from 1 species
UACAGAGGUCUCAAGCGUUGUUCGGAUUCAUUGGGCGUAAAGGGUGUGUAGGUGGCGCGCUAAGUCGGGUGUGAAAUUUCGGAGCUUAACUCCGAAACUGCAUUCGAUACUGGCGUGCUUGAGGACUGGAGAGGAGACUGGAAUUCAUGGUGUAGCAGUGAAAUGCGUAGAGAUCAUGAGGAAGACCAGUGGCGAAGGCGGCUACCUGGACAAUUGCUGACGCUCAGGCACGAAAGCGUGGGGAGCAAAAGGG